GACGAACGCUGGCGGCGUGCUUAACACAUGCAAGUCGAGCGGAAAGGCCCCUUCGGGGGUACUCGAGCGGCGAACGGGUGAGUAUCACGUGAGUAAUCUGCACUUGGCUUCGGGAUAGCUUCGGGAAGCCGAAAUUAAUACCGGAUAUGACCACUCCAGGCAUCCGGUGGCGGUGGAAAGUUCUUCGGACAGGGAUGUGUUCGCGGCCUAUCAGCUUGGUGGUGGGGUAAUGGCCUACCAAGGCUGCGACGGGUAGCCGGGCUGAGAGGGGGACCGGCCACACUGGGACUGAGACACGGCCCAGACUACUACGGGAGGCAGCAGUGGGGAAUAGUGGACAAUGGGCGGAAGCCUGAUCCAGCAACGCCGCGUGAGGGAUGACAGCUUUCGGGUUGUAAACCUCUUUCACCACCGACGGAGCGCGAGUGACGGUAGGUGGGGAAGGAGCACCGGCCAACUACGCGCCAGCCGCCGCGGUAAAAC
rnacentral:rRNA from 1 species